rnacentral:lncRNA from 1 species
UAUGGGUAUCUACUCAGGAUCAGCCUAAAAUAGCCCUCUUUGGUAUUAAUUUUUUUUUAAGAAAAAUCAGCUUACAAAUCUGAACGAAGCCUGGAUUGCAAUCAACUCUUUGAUCAUUUUUUUGAUCUUUUCUCCUCUUCUUCUCUUACUUUUCUUUCCUUAACUAUGAAGCAAUUAAGAAUUAGAAAUCAGCAAGCAAGAGGAUGCCCAAGCUCCUCUUGGGU